rnacentral:lncRNA from 1 species
CUUUUAAAGAGCCCGCUCCAGCCGAACAUACAACAACAAAUAUUUCACCGCCUCCCGAACAAUUUAGACCUUCGCCACAAAAACCAUCCUAAUCUGAAUCCAGGCCCGAAGCUGUGGCGACACCGAUUAUCAUCGGUUUGGCAAUAAUUCCAUCAUGGAACUGAUGGGUGAAGGAGUGAAAUACCAGACUAAAGGAAGUUGGUAUUUGACCAUCAGUUUGAACUGAUUGAUUAAUAUUGACCAUCUGCAAGCAAACGCUAUCUUCGGGUACCUCCGUCUCAAAUACAAAGAAGCCGAAGAGGAUACCGAAGAGAAUACCGCCCGAAGGGAGAAAGCCAUUCUGAAGUCUGUGUUGGCAAAAGAAAGAAGCAACCUUGACAUUGUUCUUC